UCCCUGAUGGUCCAGUGGCUAGGGCUUCAUGCUUCCAAUGCAGGAGGCCUGGGUUCAAUCUCUGGUCAAGGAA
rnacentral:tRNA from 1 species